CCUACGGGAGGCUGCAGUGGGGAAUAUUGGACAAUGGGGGAAACCCUGAUCCAGCGACGCCGCGUGGGUGAAGAAGGCCUGCGGGUUGUAAAGCCCUUUCGAUGGGGAAGCGUAACCCAUAAAAGAAGCACCGGCUAACUCUGUGCCAGCAGCCGCGGUAAUACAGAGGGUGCGAGCGUUAAUCGGAAUUACUGGGCGUAAAGCGCGCGUAGGCGGCUUUGCAAGUCGAGUGUGAAAUCCCCGGGCUCAACCUGGGAACUGCAUUCGAGACUGCAUUGCUAGAGUAUGGGAGAGGGAAGUGGAAUUUCGGUGUAGCGGUGAAAUGCGUAGAUAUCUGAAGGAACAUCAGUGGCGAAAGCGACUUCCUGGACCAUCUGACGCUCAAGUGCGAAAGCGUGGGGAGCAAACAGGAUUAGAUACCCUUGUAGUC
rnacentral:rRNA from 1 species